rnacentral:rRNA from 1 species
ACGUCUAUACCUUUAAAGUGUAGAUCAGUUGACUGUCAUACUUCCAAGAAAAGCUCGAACUACUGCAAAACAUCACGUACCUGUACCGUAAACCGACACAGGUGGGUUGGUAGAGUAUACCAAGGGGCGCGAGAUAACUCUCUCUAAGGAACUCGGCAAAAUGACCCCGUAACUUCGGGAGAAGGGGUGCCAAGUAACUUAAAUUGCUUGGUCGCAGUGACCAGGCCCUGGCGACUGUUUAUCAAAAACACAGGUCUCCGCAAAGUCGUAAGACAACAUAUGGGGGCUGACGCCUGCCCAGUGCCGGAAGGUUAAAGAAGUUGGUUAUUCAUUCGUGGAGAAGCUGACGACUGAAGCCCCGGUGAACGGCGGCCGUAACAAUAACGGUCCUAAGGUAGCGAAAUUCCUUGUCGGGUAAGUUCCGACCCGCACGAAAGGCGUAACGAUCAGGGCACUGUCUCGGAGAGAGACUCGGUGAAAUAGACAUGUCUGUGAAGAUGCGGACUACCUGCACCUGGACAGAAAGACCCUAUGAAGCUUGACUGUAGCUUGGAAUUGGGUUCGGGCUCUUCUUGCGCAGCCUAGGUGGGAGGCGUUGAAGGUUUUCUUUUGGGAAAGCUGGAGCCAUCAGUGAGAGACCACUCUGGAGGAGCUAGAAUUCUAAUGGCGUUCCUUGAAGCAGGACGCUUGACAGUUUCAGGUGGGCAGUUUGACUGGGGCGGUCACCUCCUAAAAGGUAACGGAGGUGUGCAAAGGUUCCCUCAGGCUGGACGGAAAUCAGCCGUAGAGUGUAAAGGCAGAAGGGAGCUUGACUGCAAGACCUACAAGUCGAGCAGGGGCGAAAGCCGGCCUUAGUGAUCCGACGGUUCCAUGUGGAAGGGCCGUCGCUCAACGGAUAAAAGUUACUCUAGGAUAACAGGCUGAUCUUCCCCAAGAGUUCACAUCGACGGGAAGGUUUGGCACCUCGAUGUCGGCUCAUCGCAACCUGGGGCGGUAGUACGUCCCAAGGGUUGGGCUGUUCGCCCAUGAAAGCGGUACGUGAGCUGGGUUCAGAACGUCGUGAGACAGUUCGGUCCAUAUCCGGUGUAGGCGUUAGAGCAUUGAGAGGAGUCUUCCAUAGUACGAGAGGACCUGGAAGAACACACCUCUGGUAUACCAGUUAUCAUGCCAAUGGUAAACGCUGGGUAGCUAUGUGUGGAGUGGAUAACCGCUGAAAGCAUCUAAGUGGGAAGCCCACCUCAAGAUGAGUGCUCUCUAUGAGGUCACAGGAAGACAACCUGUUUGAUAGGCAGAAGGUGUAAGGCUAGUAAUAGUUUCAGCUGAUCUGUACUAAUAGACCCAUUGAUUU